GACAUAUAGGUUGUAGGGACUGAAAGGGACCGACCCUUCGGGGAGCCUAUACAGGUUGUUGCAUGGCUGUCGUCAGCUCGUGUCGUGAGAUGUUCGGUUAAGUCCGCUAACGAGCGCAACCCUCGUCGUAUGUUAUAUGUGUCAUACGAGACUGCCGGUAAAAAGCCGGAGGAAGGUGAGGAUGAUGUCAAGUCAGCAUGACCUUUAUAUCCAGGGCUACACACACGCUACAAUGGUCUGUACAAUGGGUAGCCAAGCCGCGAGGCGGAGCCAAUCCUGAAAGCAGGCCUCAGUUCAGAUUGCAGUCUGCAACUCGACUGCAUGAAGCCGGAGUUGCUAGUAACCGCAGGUCAGCAAUACUGCGGUGAAUACGUUCCCGGGUCUU
rnacentral:rRNA from 1 species